rnacentral:rRNA from 1 species
UACGUAGGGGGCAAGCGUUGUCCGGAUUUAUUGGGCGUAAAGAGCGUGUAGGCGGUCAGGUAGGUCCGUUGUGAAAACUCGAGGCUCAACCUCGAGACGCCGAUGGAAACCAUCUGACUAGAGUCCGGAAGAGGAGAGUGGAAUUCCUGGUGUAGCGGUGGAAUGCGCAGAUAUCAGGAGGAACACCAAUAGCGAAGGCAGCUCGCUGGGACGUUACUGACACUGAGGCGCGAAAGCGUGGGGAGCGAACAGG